CUUAAAGCACGUUAUCAUGACGAGAAGAAGAUAAUAAAAGACAUUCUAAAGGAUAAAGGAUUUGUAGUUGAAGUAAACACUACUUUUGAAGAUUUUGUGGCGAUAAUCAGUUCAACUAAAAGAUCAACUACAUUAGAUGCUGGAAAUAUCAAAUUGGCUUUCAAUAUUACUAGAAAAGGCAGAAGCCCGUGAACGUGAAAGAGAAAAAGAAGAGGCUCGGAAGAUGAAACGAAAAGAAUCUGCAUUUAAGAGUAUGUUAAAACAAGCUGCUCCUCCGAUAGAAUUGGAUGCUGUCUGGGAAGAUAUCCGUGAGAGAUUUGUAAAAGAGCCAGCAUUUGAGGACAUAACUCUAGAAUCUGAAAGAAAACGAAUAUUUAAAGAUUUUAUGCAUGUGCUUGAGCAUGAAUGUCAGCAUCAUCAUUCAAAGAACAAGAAACAUUCUAAGAAAUCUAAAAAACAUCAUAGGAAACGUUCCCGCUCUCGAUCGAUUCAGAUGAUGAUGAUAGCCAUUCAAAGAAAAAAAGACAGCGAUCAGAGUCUCGUUCUGCU
rnacentral:lncRNA from 1 species